rnacentral:rRNA from 1 species
CCUACGGGCGGCUGCAGUGGGGAAUAUUGCACAAUGGGCGCAAGCCUGAUGCAGCCAUGCCGCGUGUGUGAAGAAGGCCUUCGGGUUGUAAAGCACUUUCAGCGGGGAGGAAGGCGGUGAGGUUAAUAACCUCAUCGAUUGACGUUACCCGCAGAAGAAGCACCGGCUAACUCCGUGCCAGCAGCCGCGGUAAUACGGAGGGUGCAAGCGUUAAUCGGAAUUACUGGGCGUAAGGCGCACGCAGGCGGUCUGUCAAGUCGGAUGUGAAAUCCCCGGGCUCAACCUGGGAACUGCAUUCGAAACUGGCAGGCUAGAGUCUUGUAGAGGGGGGUAGAAUUCCAGGUGUAGCGGUGAAAUGCGUAGAGAUCUGGAGGAAUACCGGUGGCGAAGGCGGCCCCCUGGACAAAGACUGACGCUCAGGUGCGAAAGCGUGGGGAGCAAACAGGAUUAGAUACCCUUGUAGUC